rnacentral:rRNA from 1 species
UACGUAGGGGGCAAGCGUUGUCCGGAUUUAUUGGGCGUAAAGAGCGUGUAGGCGGUUUGGUAGGUCCGCUGUGAAAACUCGAGCUCAACCUCGAGACGCCGGUGGAAACCAUCAGACUAGAGUCCGGAAGAGGAGAGUGGAAUUCCGUGGUGUAGCGGUGAAAUGCGCAGAUAUCAGGAAGAACACCCGUGGCUAAGGCGGCUCUCUAGUACGGUACUGACGCUGAGACGCGAAGCGUGGGAGCGAACAGG